UACGUAGGGGCCUAGCGUUGUCCGGAUUUAUUGGGCGUAAAGAGCUCGUAGGCGGUUCGGCAAGUCGGAUGUGAAAUCUCCACGCUUAACGUGGAGGGGCCAUUCGAAACUGCCGUGACUCGAGUCCGGUAGGGGAGUGUGGAAUUCCCGGUGUAGCGGUGAAAUGCGCAGAUAUCAGGAGGAACACCCGUGGCGAAAGCGGCUCUCUGGGACGGUACUGACGCUGAGACGCGAAAGCGUGGGGAGCAAACAGG
rnacentral:rRNA from 1 species